rnacentral:sRNA from 1 species
GAUUUGCGUGAGUGAUAAGAGUGGAAAUCCUUUUUUAAUUGUCGCCUGAGGUGUCACACUGAGCCUGUCGAAGUGCUCUCGAAGGCACAAAUAAAAAAGAUUGUAACGGAUAGCACGACCUGAA